AAAAAACAGUGGCUUUUUCUGCUAACCCUCUCAAGCAAUCAGAUAAGUAACUCAAAAUGAGGACCCAUGGGGAGAAUUGGCAAAUGAGAAGAGAGAAGAAUGGAGAAGUGGAAAGAAAUUUCAUCAGAAAGGCAAAUGAAUAUUUAGUUAACUAGACACAUAAAAUAUAGAGGCAAAGGAUAAAGAGAGAAAAAAGAAACGUGAAGAUCACUAAGGCUCAGUUUUGUUUUGUAUUGUAUUUUUGCCAAGGAUUAAGACACUUGGUACCUCUGAUAUAUCAAACUGAGAUACAACAGAGGUGAAUGAGGAGGAAAUAUAUUUUACACUUGAGAUACAUAGCAGCAUUUCAACCUCAAUAUCCCAUUUUACUGAGUGAAAAUGUAUUUUUCUUUUCUUUUUUGAUGUUUGCUAUAUGCC
rnacentral:lncRNA from 1 species